UUGAGCGAUCUUCUUCGGAAGAGAGCGGCGGACGGGUGAGUAACGCGUGGGUAACCUGCCCUGUACACACGGAUAACAUACCGAAAGGUAUGCUAAUACGGGAUAACAUAAGAAAUUCGCAUGUUUUUCUUAUCAAAGCUCCGGCGGUACAGGAUGGACCCGCGUCUGAUUAGCUAGUUGGUGAGGUAACGGCUCACCAAGGCGACGAUCAGUAGCCGACCUGAGAGGGUGAUCGGCCACAUUGGAACUGAGACACGGUCCAAACUCCUACGGGAGGCAGCAGUGGGGAAUAUUGCACAAUGGGCGAAAGCCUGAUGCAGCAACGCCGCGUGAGCGAUGAAGGCCUUCGGGUCGUAAAGCUCUGUCCUCAAGGAAGAUAAUGACGGUACUUGAGGAGGAAGCCCCGGCUAACUACGUGCCAGCAGCCGCGGUAAUACGUAGGGGGCUAGCGUUAUCCGGAUUUACUGGGCGUAAAGGGUGCGUAGGCGGUCCUUUAAGUCAGGAGUGAAAGGCUACGGCUCAACCGUAGUAAGCUCUUGAAACUGGAGGACUUGAGUGCAGGAGAGGAGAGUGGAAUUCCUAGUGUAGCGGUGAAAUGCGUAGAUAUUAGGAGGAACACCAGUAGCGAAGGCGGCUCUCUGGACUGUAACUGACGCUGAGGCACGAAAGUGUGGGGAGCAAACAGGAUUAGAUACCCUGGUAGUCCACGCCGUAAACGAUGAGUACUAGCUGUCGGAGGUUACCCCCUUCGGUGGCGCAGCUAACGCAUUAAGUACUCCGCCUGGGGAGUACGCUCGCAAGAGUGAAACUCANAGGAAUUGACGGGGACCCGCACAAGUAGCNGA
rnacentral:rRNA from 1 species